UACAGAGGGUGCAAGCGUUGUUCGGAAUUACUGGGCGUAAAGCGCGUGUAGGCUGCGGAGUAAGUCGGAUGUGAAAUCCCUUGGCUUAACCAAGGAAGUGCAUCCGAUACUGUUUCGCUUGAGUGUCGGAGGGGAUGGCGGAAUUCCCGGUGUAGAGGUGAAAUUCGUAGAUAUCGGGAGGAACACCUGUGGCGAAGGCGGCCAUCUGGACGACAACUGACGCUGAGACGCGAAAGCCAGGGGAGCAAACGGG
rnacentral:rRNA from 1 species